rnacentral:rRNA from 1 species
AAGCUCGUAGUUGAAUUUCGGGAUCAGACUGUCGGUCGUGCCUCGGUACGCACUGGCAUUAUUGGUUCCUACCUUCUGAAGAACCGCGAUGUCAUUAAUUUGGUGUCGCGGGGGAUCAGGACUGUUACUUUGAAAAAAUUAGAGUGUUUAAAGCAGGCUUACGCUUGAAUACAUUAGCAUGGAAUAAUGAAAUAGGACGUUUGAUUCUAUUUUGUUGGUUUCUAGGAUCGACGUAAUGAUUAAUAGGGAUAGUUGGG